ACGGAAGGCAGCAGUGGGGAAUAUUGCACAAUGGGGGAAACCCUGAUGCAGCGACGCCGCGUGAAGGAAGAAGUAUCUCGGUAUGUAAACUUCUAUCAGCAGGGAAGAUAAUGACGGUACCUGACUAAGAAGCCCCGGCUAACUACGUGCCAGCAGCCGCGGUAACACGUAGGGGGCAAGCGUUAUCCGGAUUUACUGGGUGUAAAGGGAGCGUAGACGGAGAAGUAAGUCUGAUGUGAAAGGCAUGGGCUCAACCUGUGGACUGCAUUGGAAACUAUUUUUCUUGAGUGCCGGAGGGGUAAGCGGAAUUCCUAGUGUAGCGGUGAAAUGCGUAGAUAUUAGGAGGAACACCAGUGGCGAAGGCGGCUUACUGGACGGUAACUGACGUUGAGGCUCGAAAGCGUGGGGAGCAAACAGGAUUAGAUACCCUGGUA
rnacentral:rRNA from 1 species